GUUUGUGGCAGUCCCCGCUUAUGGCCUCGUCUGAUCUCGGAAGCUAAGCAGGGUCGGGCCUGUUUAGUACUUGGAUGGGAGACCGCCUGGGAAUACCAGGUGCUCAAAGCU
rnacentral:rRNA from 1 species